rnacentral:rRNA from 1 species
UCAGGAUGAACGCUGGCGGCGUGCCUAACACAUGCAAGUCGAGCGUGAACCCUUAGAAUGAAACUUCGGUCGAAUGAAGAGGGGGAAAGCGGCGGACGGGUGAGUAACGCGUAGGCAACCUGCCCCGUACAGAGGGAUAGCCUCGGGAAACCGGGAUUAAAACCUCAUAAUACCAUGGUAUCACAUGAUGCAAUGGUCAUAGAUUUAUCGGUAUGGGAUGGGCCUGCGUCUGAUUAGCUGGUUGGUGGGGUAACGGCCUACCAAGGCAACGAUCAGUAGCCGACCUGAGAGGGUAAUCGGCCACAUUGGAACUGAGACACGGUCCAAACUCCUACGGGAGGCAGCAGUGGGGAAUAUUGCACAAUGGGCGAAAGCCUGAAUGCAGCAACGCCGCGUGAGCGAAGAAGGCCUUUGGGUCGUAAAGCUCUGCCGGGAAGGAAGAUAAUGACGGUACUUCCCGAGGAAGCCCCGGCUAACUACGUGCCAGCCGCUGC